UACAGAGGUCUCAAGCGUUGUUCGGAUUCAUUGGGCGUAAAGGGUGCGUAGGUGGCGCCGUAAGUCGGGUGUGAAAUUUCGGAGCUUAACUCCGAAACUGCAUUCGAUACUGCGGUGCUUGAGGACUGGAGAGGAGACUGGAAUUCAUGGUGUAGCAGUGAAAUGCGUAGAGAUCGGGAGGAACACCGGUGGCGAAGGCGGUGCGCUGGGCCAGACCGUGGACGCUGAGGCGCGAAAGCGUGGGAGGCGAA
rnacentral:rRNA from 1 species